UACGGAGGGUGCGAGCGUUGUCCGGAAUCACUGGGCGUAAAGGGCGCGUAGGUGGCCUGUGGAAGUCUGCGGUGAAAGCCCGGCGCUCAACGCCGGGUCGGCCGUGGAUACUCUCGGGCUCGAGCUUACUAGAGGCAGAUGGAAUUCCGGGUGUAGCGGUGGAAUGCGUAGAGAUCCGGAAGAACGCCGGUGGCGAAGGCGGUCUGCUGGGGUAAUGCUGACACUGAUGCGCGACAGCGUGGGGAGCAAACAGG
rnacentral:rRNA from 1 species